CGGCAGGCAGCCAGCAAGGAAGGAAGCAGGAAGGCAGAGUGGCUGUCGCUGGCUGCCUUUUACCCACCACAGUUCUCUGCAGACCCUCUGCCCAGCACAGACCAGCCUUUGCCUGCUUAGUAAUGGAGGACAGUUUAGAACAUCUACUCUCGUCUCCUAAAAUUGGCCCAGUUCUUCAGUCUCCAAGCCUUAGACGCUCAGUUCCGGAGAGGAUGUACAGACUCAGACUGAGCAGGGACGAGACCCUCAUACUGAGACAGGCAGUCAUGUGCAACAGCUUCAGGUUCCCCCCAGAACAACAUAAUACAUCUUGUACUACACCUUGUACUAUAUACACCAACGCUUCCUCUUGCUGGCCAGCUAAAAAGCUUGGGGUUCUUUUCUUGUUUCUCUUGUUCCUCCCUUGGCACAAACACACCCAGAUAACAGUGGUCUCAGUGCCCAGCCUGAAUGUAACUUAUUGUUCCAAAAAAAGAACAAUCAACUUUGCUUUUAUUUUUUAUUUUUAAUGAGUGAUCCAUUAGGAGUCAAUUCACAUCACCUAUGCAGAUGGUCCCUGCAUUCCUAACUGACUUUAGCUCUAUUCAGACAAUGUAUUAACAUGAAAUGCAAUUGUUAUUUAUUUUA